rnacentral:rRNA from 1 species
GGCUCAGGACAAACGCUGGCGGCGUGCCUAACACAUGCAAGUCGAACGAAGCACUGUGGAAAGAGACUCGGUCAAUUGAAACUUGACUUAGUGGCGGACGGGUGAGUAAUGCAUGAGCAACCUGCCCUGGAGAGGGGGGACAACAGCUGGAAACGGCUGCUAAUACCGCAUGAUGUCACCGGGAGGCAUCUUCUGGUGACCAAAGAUUUAUCGCUCUGGGAUGGGCUCAUGUCUGAUUAGAUAGUUGGCGGGGCAACGGCCCACCAAGUCUGCGAUCAGUAGCCGGACUGAGAGGUUGAACGGCCACAUUGGGACUGAGAUACGGCCCAGACUCCUACGGGAGGCAGCAGUGGGGAAUAUUGGGCAAUGGGCGCAAGCCCUGACCCAGCAACGCCGCGUGAAGGAAGAAGGCUUUCGGGUUGUAAACUUCUUUUAUCAGGGACGAAGAACGUGACGGUACCUGAUGAAUAAGCCACGGCUAACUACGUGCCAGCCGCCGC